rnacentral:rRNA from 1 species
AUUGCACGCUGACGGCAGGCCUAACACCUUAUAGUCGCACCAGUGGCGGACUGUUGAGUAAUGUCUGGGAAACUGCCCGAUGGAGGGGGAUAACUACUUGCAACGGUAGCUAAUACCGCAUACCAUCGGAUGUGCCCAUAUGGGAUUAGCUAGUAGGUGGGGUAACGCCUCACCUAGGCGACUAUCCCUAGCUGGUCUGAGAGGAUUACCAGUACACAUGGAAUUGAGACCCGGUCCAGACUCCGACGGGAGGCAGCAGUGGGGAAUAUUGCACAAUGGGCGCAAGCCUGAUGCAGCCAUGCCGCGUGUAUGAAGAAGGUCGGCGGGUUGUAAAGUACUUUCAGCGAGGAGGCGUUACUCGCAGAAGAAGCACCGGCUAACUCCGUGCCAGCAGCCGCGGUAAUUC